GCCCGCUUGGCGGAACUGGUAGACGCAAGGGACUUAAAAUCCCUCGGCCCCCCGGGCCGUGCCGGUUCGAGUCCGGCAGCGGGCACCA
rnacentral:tRNA from 1 species